CGGGGUGUAGCGCAGUCCGGUUAGCGCACCUGCUUUGGGAGCAGGAUGUCGGAGGUUCAAAUCCUCUCACCCCGA
rnacentral:tRNA from 1 species